UACGGGGGGGGCAAGCGUUGUUCGGAAUUACCGGGCGUAAAGGGUUCGUAGGUGGCUUGUUAAGUCGGACGUGAAAUCCCUCAGCUUAACUGGGGAACUGCGUCUGAGACUGGUGAGCUUGAGUGCAGGAGAGGAACGCGGAAUUCCAGGUGUAGCGGUGAAAUGCGUAGAUAUCUGGAGGAACACCGGUGGCGAAGGCGGCGUUCUGGACUGCAACCGACACUGAUGAACGAAAGCCAGGGGAGCAAACGGG
rnacentral:rRNA from 1 species